CCAGUUUGGCAGUUUGUGCCAGUUCAUCCUUUGAAUGAACCAGUUUGGAUGUAAUGCUCACCUCUCCCUAAAGAGAAUAUGAUGUUGGACAGGGAGUCACUGUGGGUGCAAAACUACCACCUUUAUUUCUGAGGUCACAGUCAUUGUCACAAGAUCCCCGGAGACAUCCUAAAUGGAAUUCUGCUUUCCAGGGCUCUGCUCAGCAAAUCAAGAGGAAUGUUGGUACACCAGUUAAGAAGAGACAUCGUUGUCUAUUGUUGCUGCUGCUGUUGUUUUUGAAGCCAAAAUCCCAUUAUACCAAGUUCUGGCAAGGGAAUGUGCAAGACUUGGAAAAUUUCAUGACACCCUUCACCGAAGGACACUGGUAACUGUAAAAUCAGCACCGGAAAGACUAUUUAUAGUAGUGGUGGAAAAGAAAAUCUCUUUAUAAGGAAAUGCUGGAAUUACAGAGCGGUUGGAAAAAGACAAAAGCAGAAGGCAUAAAGAAUCACAGGAGACUGCUAGAUGUUAUUGUAAGAGGCCUCACAGCAACCAUUUCUCGUAGACUUAUUUCCCGGCCUUUGGAAAUUAGUUUAUACAGGCAAGCCUCUGAAAAUGUAUUGCUGUAAAAAAGCAACAGGCAAAUAAAUUAAGUUAAUAAACAGGGCAUUCAAAAGGAGAAAAGCAAGUUCAUGGACUGGAAAAAUGAGCAACUCAGUAAAGAGGAAGUACACAAAAACAGAUCACGUAUUGUGUGGUUUCACCAGACUGUGUUAUUUCACUAUAAAGAUUUCUGAUGUCUUGGUGGGAGGAGAAAAAAGAUACAGAAAGACAGUGAG